GGUCUGGUAGCAUAGCGGUUAAUGUGUCGAGGUUCAUGCCCUCGAAGAGCCCUUGUUCGACUCGGGGCUGGACCG